CUCCGGUUGAUCCUGCCGGACCCGACUGCUAUCAGAGUGGGACUAAGCCAUGCGAGUCAACAUAGCAAUAUGUGGCAUACGGCUCAGUAACACGUAGUCAACAUGCCCAGGGGACGUGGAUAACCUCGGGAAACUGAGGAUAAACCGCGAUAGGUCAUCACUUCUGGAAUGGGUAAUGACUUAAAUCUAUAUGGCCCCUGGAUUGGACUGCGGCCGAUCAGGCUGUUGGUGAGGUAAUGGCCCACCAAACCUGUAACCGGUACGGGCUCUGAGAGGAGGAGCCCGGAGAUGGGCACUGAGACAAGGGCCCAGGCCCUAUGGGGCGCAGCAGGCGCGAAACCUCUGCAAUAGGCGAAAGCCUGACAGGGUUACUCUGAGUGAUUUCCGUUAAGGAGAUCUUUUGGCACCUCUAAAAAUGGUGCAGAAUAAGGGGUGGGCAAGUCUGGUGUCAGCCGCCGCGGUAAUACCAGCACCCCGAGUGGUCGGGACGUUUAUUGGGCCUAAAGCAUCCGUAGCCGGUUCUACAAGUCUUCCGUUAAAUCCACCUGCUUAACAGAUGGGCUGCGGAAGAUACUACAGAGCUAGGAGGCGGGAGAGGCAAGCGGUACUCGAUGGGUAGGGGUAAAAUCCGUUGAUCCAUUGAAGACCACCAGUGGCGAAGGCGGCUUGCCAGAACGCGCUCGACGGUGAGGGAUGAAAGCUGGGGGAGCAAACCGGAUUAGAUACCCGGGUAGUCCCAGCUGUAAACGAUGCAGACUCGGUGAUGAGUUGGCUUAUUGCUAACUCAGUGCCGCAGGGAAGCCGUUAAGUUUGCCGCCUGGGGAGUACGGUCGCAAGACUGAAACUUAAAGGAAUUGGCGGGGGAGCA
rnacentral:rRNA from 1 species